rnacentral:pre_miRNA from 1 species
CUUGACGCGUUUCGUGACCGUGAUAGUCACUUCCUCAAGAAGAGGCUUCUUGAAGAAGUGACUAUCAUGGUCACGAAACGCGUUAAGCAU